rnacentral:lncRNA from 1 species
GCUCCAACAAGGUCGUUGACAACGAGAGCCAAUAAAUCAUAGCGGGGUUUUCCGGAAGAUACCACCUCGAGAAUCCAAUCGCUCCAACUCUCUCUCACAGUGCUCCUGCCGAUGUGACCAACUAGCAAGAUUUUCCACUGACUGUCCCGCAAGCGCGUUCAGCCACCACGUUCGCUUUUCCGAGGUGGUACAGGAUUGUAACGAUCGAAAUCCCUUUAAGCAACUCUAACCACCGCCGUNNNNNNNNNNNNNNNNNNNNNNNNNNNNNNNNNNNNNNNNNNNNNNNNNNNNNNNNNNNNNNNNNNNNNNNNNNNNNNNNNNNNNNNNNNNNNNNNNNNNAGAUAAGAUAAGAGAGGGUUGGGUAGUGAGGUAGCUACAAGGAUGAAUUUCAUCCUUCUCUUUCUCGUCUUCUCCAAUUAAGGCAAUGCUUUGAAGUAAUUGCCGCUGUCAAAGCCUUUCACAUUCUUCUCUAUAUGGUUUGUUAAGCUCUAAUAAAUGAUGGGAGAGUAUUCCUAGCAGCUAAUAGAGUUGAUGUUUAAUCAAAGGACUCUAUGGUGAUUUACCUAAAACCAUAAGACUCCAAAAUAGGGCUUUAAAUGGUAACUCUCUAAAGAAAGGUCUAAAUCUUUGAAAUGGUUUAGUGGAACCCAUGAUGCCUAAUAGAUGAUAAUGCAUUGAAAUAUAGAGCUAAUUAUAAUGAUUUCUGCAUAAUGUAAACCUAGGGCAAAGCAAACUCAACAUGUAUGUUGAUCUCAAUGACUCCGUCAAACAAAUGUAAGUAACGAAACGUACGUUGGCGAAGACAGUUCGGCAAUCCACGAGCACGCUACAUAUUAUUAAAAAUGACGUUUAGAGCUUCGGUCCCGCCGGAGGGCCGAGGCUAUAUUCGUAAAUUCAUCGAAAAUAUUGAAACGUGCACAAACCAAAGACCUUUAAUUUUCAGGAUGGAAUAUGGAGGCCGUUCGUUGUGCGCGCGAGAAUCGCGCCAAACGGGUGCGAGUCCGCGGCGUCGUAUAUGCAAAGUUCCGACAAGCAAAUCGGAAAGCGAAAUGAGGUUGUUUUACCCGAAGCGACUAUGAGUUCCUUUAGUCAAGAAAUGAGAUUCCAUAUUGAAUGCAUAUUGACAAAUAUAAGAAGUGGAUAAAUGCAUUUAACAUACAUAGAAUUUUUAAAUUAAAUUAUAAGAAUUAAGUAGCAAAAGAAUCAAGAAUGCUAAUAUGGACUAUUAUGGAUAAUACAUAUUAAUUGACAAAUCAUGUGAGCUAGUGAUAUUGUUCCUGAAUAUAUAUAUUAUAGAAUUACAAAUGUUAUUAUGUUAAUAAUAAAACUAUAUGAUAGACAUAUUGCCUAUGUGUGGAACAUAGUGAGACAACUAUAUAUAUUAUAUAGAUCGAGUGCCAUAUAACAUGCCAUCGUUGAACCAGCAACACUUUGGGAUUGAUCAUAUAUAUCCUGGUUCAUUAUGAUAUGUGACCUAUAUUGAUGUAAAAUGAGUAGUUGGACUGAACAAUUAGUAACAAAGAGGUGAAAUUGACAAAUAGAGACAUGAUGGCAUCAAGAAAGUAGAUGUACAAGCAUAAUUAACAAGAUGCAUUGACCAUCUUGACAUUAAGAAGCUGAUUAAAUAGGAGAAAUAUAUUGACAUUGCAUUGUACGCUGGCUAUGUAAUCCUCAAUUAGGAUUGAUCGUGUCUGUACCAAUAUAAGUCUUGCUGAGUAUACUCCCUCAGACGUGCGCCACGGAGUUGGUACACCACUGGCGUUUUUGGUUAAUAGUCCCACCAAGUUGACGUCCUAGGAGUUGUGUCCCCCUAUUAGGAUCGUGUUGUGAGUUAUUGGGGUUAACAUAAGUUAACCGUAAAUUUGGAUCAUAGCCAAAUGAGUGUAAACAACAGUAUGGCAUAUAGAUUUAUAGAUUUGGUAUCCUAGUCAAGAGUAUCAUGGCUAGAGUUAUUAAGACGUCCAUCGCUCGAGUCCUGUCUAUGCGGUACCAGACGAUGCUCAAGACUGAGUCGGGUGGUUAGCCUUGUAAAGGUACAUUAACUUUAAUGAUUAAACGCCUGAUUUGAAAAUCUAUGAUAAAUGAAACUCUAAUAUAAACAGAUGAGCUAGUUAGCAGAAUUGAAAGUAUAUCGAAUGAACUACAAUUGUUCAUAGUUUGCAUUAUUGGUAAUUUGUCAUACUCAUUACAUCUGCAUUUAAGCAAUGAAUUGUAAUUCGUGGCAUAACAAGUAUAAUAUCUAUGCUGUUAUUGAACUACUUGCAGUUGCCUUCCCUUGACUAUUGUCGAACUUUCACUUGGGCUGGCGCGUACCCACGGACCAUGAUGUUCUCACCCCACGUGGUUUGGGUUUACAGGUAUGCAACGUCGACUACGUGGCGGCGCAGCGAGGCGUACUCCAUAGUUAUCGCCCUACCACGAGACCAGAGAUCACGCGUACCGUCUGAUCUGCCUACUUAGGGAUGCAAAAAAGAAAAGAUCAAAACGUUGUAAUAAUAUUGUAAAGCUAAUUGUAUUGAACUACAAAAGAAUAUUAUUAGAUGUGAUGAAAAUAAUCUAAGGAAUGAUGUAAAUAUAGAUGUUUUUAUUUGAUUUGAUACCUUCAUUAAUGCAUCUGAUUGAAAUUUGAUCCUGUUGGAACUUUGACAUGAUGAUCUAUGCCUUGAACGACAGGGAACUUCGUCCGCCAUACAGGGAAACCCCGUCCGUAUCGUCGGAUACUGUUGCGGCGCCGCGACCCGGCCAAAUAGGCGGCAGCGCGGGGCGUACACAAGUGUCAAGUGACAAGUUACGCACGUAUACUACGACGAAUAAGCAUGCUACUAUGGGUCCGAAAUUCUAUGUAUCGAUGGUGACCCCGGUUCAACUCCAUUUCUGGAAAAGCCUGCAAGGAUCCCUUGCAUCACACGCGAUUUUAGCACUUACAUUUCAUCCGUCAGACCGAGGGAAACAGAGAGAACAAUUCAAACGCUAGAGAAUGUUGCGGCUUGUGUCUAUGAAUAUAAGGAAGUUGGUUGUGACACCCUACCAGAUGCCGAGUCGCCUACAACAAUAUUAUCAGCUAGUUGGAGAUGUGCAACCCGUUCGAUUGCUCUUUACAGCGGACAGUGUCGGUCUACUAUAAUCACUACGAUGCAUGUGCGAGCGUUGCGAACUUCGCCGGAUGUGUUGCGAGAACGGAAGGAGAAAGUCUCCUUCUCCAGAGAUUGCUACACGGCGCAGUCAAACAACCCAGUUAUGACAGAAUAGCGCUGUCGAGAAUAGAGUUCUUCGGGGUUGAUGCGUAUCUGAUUCGCCAUCGCGGGGGGUUCGAAGCGGAUUGGAUUGCGCUGAAAGCUUAAUCCCCGUACAUUUGGACCAUAUGAGUAUAUGGACGCGCGUCGCACGUGGCGUACAUCGCUGCUUGCGCCGAUACUGCGACUUGCAACAAGUUUUCAUGUCUCCAAUCUACGCAAGUAUAUUCACGACCCGUAAGAACUGCUAAUGAACUCGAAUUUCAAGAAGACUUUGAAGCUAUGAAAGUUUCCGGUUGUGUAUCCGCCGAGAGUGCGAAAGCUAGAAUCGUAGAAAAUCCCCAUAUUAAAAUUCAUGGAAGCCAUCAUGAUGAUCCGCGAAGCCCACCUGAACACAGAACUAUGAAAAGCACAAUCCUCAUCUAUUUGAGAUGAGGUAGAGUUUAAAUAAAAGUGGAAAAAUGUUCGUAUUCAAGACAAACUCCUUUAAGGAGGCAGAUGUAAGGAAUGAAUUCUCUCAAAUACGAUGAUUGUACUAUCACCAGGAUUCGACUGAUAUGUGAAAGUAACCUUUGUGGGAUUGAUAACGUCACAAAUCACAAAGAUGCACUUGGAAGUUAUCCCAAGCAAAUAGGCAAAUGGGCAUCAUGGGGGCAGGAAGUUCUCUCAGUGACCCGUCCUGCAGUGCAAGACGCGGUUCCACAGGCUGGUGUGCGGGGUUGCGUGAUCAACGGUCCGGUGUGAGACGUUCCCGAACGCCCCAGCGUGAGAUGCCAAAAAUUGCUAAAGUACUCCUGAAAAUACAGCCUUCGGAACCGUUCUCUCAGGUGACGGACCGGUCUCACAGAUACCGGUCUCCGGAUAGACCGGUUCCCGAAGCUGCGUGCGCCCGAGGAAACUCUCGGUACCGUACCAAGUCGGGAACCGGUCUCCGCGGAAAACGCGUACCAAGGGACAGUGCAACGGGGUGAAAGUUGAGGGCUUUUGUGCAAAUGACAUUUAUUGUAGAGUGCGCUGAGCCCUUCUCUCUCACUCAGCACUCUCGAUUAUUCUCUCCUCACCUCAUUUCUCUCUGCUCUCUCUCAUCUCUAGAAAGGAAAGAAGAGAAGAAAAAAAGGAAGAAUGGAAAAAGAAAGGAAGAUAAGAGAGAAAAAAGGACAUCAAGUAGGAAGGCUUUGAAGCACCUCAUCUCCCUCGUCCUCUUCCCAUUAGUAGCUUGGAGCGUAAGACUAAAACCCUAGCUUCUAGAACUAUAGGUUUUAUGGUUUAUGCCUUGAAAUGGUCAAUGGACUACACGCUCUAUAAUUUAGAUCAAGUUCACCGAAUCUUAAGGGAGUUAUGGUGAUUGCUAUAAGGUGCAAAUCUAGCUGGUCCACAUGGUGAUUUUGUAAAUAUGAAUUGAUCUCAUUUGAAGCAUUGGAAACCCUAUAUGAAUAGCCAACGCGGGGCAGAAGUCGAUUAAUCGCAUUCCCGGACCCGUGAAGUCCGCAACCCACAAUCGGACCGGAUAGCUUGGAUUUGCGCGAGGACAGGGCUACAAACUUUGCGAAAUCGCCUUGAAAAGAUCCUCUAAAGACUCUACAUGAAAACAGGGGGGUGUCAUCCGAAACUUUCGAACUCCUUCAUGUCUUAGAUGCAUUUAAUCUCAUCUCUUACAUUGCAUUGUAGCAUUGCAUAGUAGCUCACAUCCUUAUCUUAAAAUGAUAACCUAUGUGUACCUCUGGAACCUUAAGCCCCAAUAGAUAGUGAAGGAUUGGUCGGAACGUGGAAUCAUCCUGCAAAGAUAAGAGAUUAACCCGAUGGGGGGGUAUUGAAACAUAGAAAUAGUUAUUAGUCAAAGAACAACAGCGACAUCCAAACUUGAAAUAUAACGAGUGGCAUUCAUGUAGUGUAAAUAACACUAGAUCGAUGAACCAAUAGGGAUAGUGAAUCCUUAGAAAAUGUCCCAUUGUAACAAGUUUAAAACUAAAUAACAUUGCAUGAAUGCGAAAUACGAUGAUUAUAGCACAGUCUGUGACUCUAAACAGUAACCCCUCAUUUGGAGAAUGAUUCGUUAUGACCCUAAGUUGUAGAGUGGUCCUUGCUUGGAGAGGAAAUAGAUCUAGCUCACAUCUGCGUAAUGGGGUGGUAAGCCCCCAAUCCUGCACAGAGGAUGUCGUCGAGUAUUCGUAUCUGUCGCCGACUAGACCACUUGAGUCCGACCACAUGAGGUCCGCAAGCCCAGCUUGUGCACUUGGAGCUCCCUCUCGCCCUUUGGGAUUUGAUAGUGAGUCAUGGACGACCCAGGCUCGCCACAGAUGGCUAAAUGACAAAAGUUAAAGGUUUACUCAUGUCAUUGACAUUACUAUUCGAACAUUUGAUCGAAUUUUUAGCCAUGUAGCACCUUUAUAAUACAUGCAUUCAUAUUCAUCGAUUAUGCAUAAGUAGCAUAGUUUCCUACUAACUUGAUUUACAGCUUUCAUACAAUCUAUCUAUCUUAAUCUGUGUUACAUGGCCCAACUGGACCUUAGUGAGACGUCGCAGGGUCGCGCCGAGCCACUGGGAAACUAGAAAUAGUUCUCACCCACUCUAUUUCCAAUGUAGGUCAGGCUGGCAGAGAAGGACCGUCGCAAGGGCGUCGCGCCCGACACAUGAGACUCGUGGUAGUAUACGUAACUUCUUUGCAUUAGUCCCUAUUAUGAGAGAAGAUUCAUGUAGGUGAGGUUGGAGACUAUGUAUUACUGGAUGAAAAAGAUGUAAUGGAAUGUAACUAAUUAAUAGUUUAGUAAAGUAUCUCUCAUUCACUCGUAUUAUUGUGAUUAAUUGCUUCUUGUGUUGACUGUUGUGCCCUUCGUUGAUGUGUUUCAGAUUUAAAUUCUGGGUAAAUUCUUGUACACAUUCCUGUUGUUGAGCCUUGAGCGGGCAGGGGAGGUGCUGUCCGUUCGGCGGUCCGUCGCCGCGGCCGAACCGUGCCAAAUCGGUAGUGGAUUCGGGGCGGGGCGUGACAGUGUGAAUCGAUAGAAAGUGUGCCGACUUGGUCAUACGAUCCACAAUCACCCAGAUCGCGUCGUGGCCACCCGUCGAACGGGGCAAUCCGACCACGAUGUCCAUAGCAAUAUUUUUCCAUUUCCAAACGGGGAUAGGUAGACUUUGGAGCUUUCCCGUUGGAAAUCGGCGCUCAGCCUUCACUUGCUGGCAUACUAAGCAUUGCGCUACAUAGCGCCCAAUAUCAGUUUUCAUGCCCGGCCACCAGUACUGCAUCUUCAGAUCACGGUACAUCUUGGUGCCGCCCGGGUGAAUGCUAUAAGGAGUCCGAUGUGCUUCUUGUAAGAUCAACUUCCGGACCUCCUCGUUUUCCGGUACGCACCAUCGGUUUCAAAACCGAAGCGCACCCUCAACGUCUACAAUGAAAUCACCGCCAUGUCCAGUCCCGAUGUCUCGCCGCACUCUUUGGAGAUUGGGGUCUGCAGAUUGCAAACUCUUAAUCUGCUCCAAUAAGGUCGGUUGGACAACGAGGGCCGUAAGCAUAGACGGGAUUUCCGGAGCUACCACUUCGAGAUCCAAUCAUUCCAUCUCUCUCCACAGUGGCUCCUGACGUGUGACCAACAUAGCAAGAUUCUCCACUGACUUCCUGCUAAGCGCGUCGGCCACCACGUUUGCUUUUCCGAGGUGGUAUAGGAUCGUAACAUCGAAAUCCUUUAGCAAUUCCAACCACCGCUGCUGCCGCAUGUUGAGCUCCUUUUGUGUGAAAAGGUAUUUCAGACUUUUGUG